GCUUAUUCCAUUACGCGCCUAUGCAAAGAAAUUGUCUUAUUUCUAUUCCGUUUCAUCAGCACCGAUUACUGAUUCGGUGUUUAAGGAAACGCUCAAUACAAAGACGCUCCCCACUUUGCCCUCUCCCCUUCUCCCACUUUCUCACUUGAAAAAAGCAGACGGACAAUCCUUCAUCGCAGGGUCAGAGUUUUCUUUUCCUCUCUUCCGUUUCUUUUUCUUGAUCUGUAAAAUUCCAUCUAUUGCUGGAAAGAGCAAGAGGGUUCUUAGAGGGGGAAUUGAAAUCUAAAUCGAAAAUCGAAAAUGUUGAGGGUAAACCGAGUGAUAAACAGGGCACAAGCUUCGAUUUUAUUUAGUCAAAACCUCCUAAGACAUGACCCAAAGAUUUCCCCUUCACCUCCUCAACAUUUUGCUUCAAAAUCAUCCAUUCGAUUCUUCGAUAUUUACACGCUUGCAAGCAAGGAAAAAAUGGAGAAAGAACGAGCAAGACUUGCUGAUGAAUUGAAUAAAGGAUAUUUUGAUGAUAUGUCUGAGCUAAAACAACACGGUGGUAAGGAAUUUGGUCAAAAUUUGUUGUGAAGUUGAAGUAAAAACCAAGCUAUAUGCAUGCAUAAGCCUUGCCUGCACUGCUUUCAGAGGUUUUUAAAUGAUACAAGCUCUACUGGAUAGACUUGCUCCUUUGUUUCUUCAGCAACUAGUGCAAGAUUACAGCAACUGGGUUCAACUCCAAAAGCAGUUGAUAAAUUAGCUUCUUUGUUCAUAUCAGCUACAGGUAAACUAGCAAAUGCAAGGCUGAGUAACUCAAUAAAUUUGAUAUUUCAGCAAAGAAGGCAUUGUUGAGAUUCAGCAGAGAAGGCAUUGUUGAGAUUCGCAAACUCAAUAAAUUUUGACAUAUUUGGUUAGAAAGAGUUGGAAUCUUUAUCGCAAUAUGGGUUAAGCUUUGACAUCAUUUUAUUAUGAUUUUGGAUUGUCCCCAAUUGGUCUCUUUGGAAAUAGAGGAGAUAUUGCAACUUGACAAGAUUCCGAGUGUUGAAUAAAUAGAAAUAAAAUGUUUGUGCCUUUUCUUUUCGAUGCUUCAGUGAUCCUAAUACCAAUGGAUAAGUAGAAAAAUAAAAAUUUCAGACUAUUUAUAUAA